GAUGAACGCUGGCGGCGUGCCUAACACAUGCAAGUCGAGCGGGAUUCAUGAGGACGAAACUUCGGUCUAGAAAUCAUGAUGAGAGCGGCGGACGGGUGAGUACCGCGUAGGCAACCUGCCCUUAGCACAGGGAUAGCCUCGGGAAACCGGGAUUAAAACCUGAUAAUGCCAAACAGUCACAUGGCUGUUUGGCCAAAGAUUUAUCGGCUAAGGAUGGGCCUGCGUCUGAUUAGUUAGUUGGUGGGGUAACGGCCUACCAAGACGACGAUCAGUAGCCGACCUGAGAGGGUGAUCGGCCACAUUGGAACUGAGACACGGUCCAAACUCCUACGGGAGGCAGCAGUGGGGAAUAUUGCACAAUGGGCGAAAGCCUGAUGCAGCAACGCCGCGUGAGCGAUGAAGGCCUUUGGGUCGUAAAGCUCUGUCCUAGGGGACGAACAAAAUGACGGUACCCUUGGAGGGAGCCCCGGCUAACUACGUGCCAGCCGCCGCCGUAAAAC
rnacentral:rRNA from 1 species